UACGUAGGCAGCGAGCGUUGUUCGGAGUUACUGGGCGUAAAGGGUGUGUAGGCGGUUUUCUAAGUUUGGUGUGAAAUCUCCCCGGCUCAACCGGGGAGGGUGCGCCGAAAACUGGGAGACUAGAGUGCGGGAUGGGAGAGUAGAAUUCCUGGUGUAGCGGUGAAAUGCGUAGAUAUCAGGAGGAAUACCGGUGGUGUAGACGGCUCUCUGGACCGCCACUGACGCUGAGACACGAAAGCGUGGGUAGCAAACAGG
rnacentral:rRNA from 1 species